rnacentral:rRNA from 1 species
GACGAACGCUGGCGGCGUGCUUAACACAUGCAAGUCGAACGGAAAGGCCCUGCUUUUGUGGGGUGCUCGAGUGGCGAACGGGUGAGUAACACGUGAGUAACCUGCCCUUGACUUUGGGAUAACUUCAGGAAACUGGGGCUAAUACCGGAUAGGAGCUCCUGCUGCAUGGUGGGGGUUGGAAAGUUUCGGCGGUUGGGGAUGGACUCGCGGCUUAUCAGCUUGUUGGUGGGGUAGUGGCUUACCAAGGCUUUGACGGGUAGCCGGCCUGUGAGGGUGACCGGCCACAUUGGGACUGAGAUACGGCGCAGACGCCUACGGGAGGCAGCAGUGGGGAAUAUUGCACAAUGGGCGGAAGCGUGAUGCAGCAACGCCGCGUGCGGGAUGACGGCCUGCGGGUUGUAAACCGCUUUCGGCUGUGACGAAGCGUGAAUGACGGUAAUGGGUAAAGAAGCACCGGCUAACUACGUG